rnacentral:rRNA from 1 species
GCAGCAGUGAGGAAUAUUGGGCAAUGCCCGAAAGGGUGACCCAGCAACGCCGCGUGGAGGAUGAAGGUCGUAAGAUUGUAAACUCCUGUUAGAGGGGACGAAUAACACCGAUCGACUCGGUGCUUGACUGUACCCUCAGAGAAAGCCCCGGCUAACUACGUGCCAGCAGCCGCGGUAAUACGUAGGGGGCAAGCGUUGUCCGGAUUCACUGGGUGUAAAGGGCGCGCAGGCGGGUUAGCAAGUCAGAGGUGAAAUCCUACAGCUUAACUGUAGAACUGCCUUUGAAACUGUUAAUCUUGAGUGCGGAAGAGAGAGACGGAAUUCCAGGUGUAGCGGUGAAAUGCGUAGAUAUCUGGAAGAACACCAGUUGCGAAGGCGGUCUCUUGGUCCGUUACUGACGCUCAGGCGCGAAAGCGUGGGGAGCAAACAGGAUUAGAUACCCUGGUAGUCCACGCCCUAA